rnacentral:rRNA from 1 species
AUUGAACGCUGGCGGCAGGCCUAACACAUGCAAGUCGAGCGGAUGAAGGGGGCUUGCUCCUGGAUUCAGCGGCGGACGGGUGAGUAAUGCCUAGGAAUCUGCCUGGUAGUGGGGGAUAACGUCCGGAAACGGGCGCUAAUACCGCAUACGUCCUGAGGGAGAAAGUGGGGGAUCUUCGGACCUCACGCUAUCAGAUGAGCCUAGGUCGGAUUAGCUAGUUGGUGGGGUAAAGGCCUACCAAGGCGACGAUCCGUAACUGGUCUGAGAGGAUGAUCAGUCACACUGGAACUGAGACACGGUCCAGACUCCUACGGGAGGCAGCAGUGGGGAAUAUUGGACAAUGGGCGAAAGCCUGAUCCAGCCAUGCCGCGUGUGUGAAGAAGGUCUUCGGAUUGUAAAGCACUUUAAGUUGGGAGGAAGGGCAGUAAGUUAAUACCUUGCUGUCUUGACGUUACCAACAGAAUAAGCACCGGCUAACUUCGUG